GACGAAGGGGGCUAGCGUUGUUCGGAAUUACCGGGCGUAAAGCGCGCGUAGGCGGACCUGCAAGUCGGGGGUGAAAGCCCGAGGCUCAACCUCGGAACUGCCUUCGAUACUGCGGGUCUCGAGUCCGGGAGAGGUGAGUGGAAUUCCUAGUGUAGAGGUGAAAUUCGUAGAUAUUAGGAAGAACACCAGUGGCGAAGGCGGCUCACUGGCCCGGUACUGACGCUGAGACGCGAAAGCGUGGGGAGCGAACCGG
rnacentral:rRNA from 1 species